AGAUUGAACGCUGGCGGCAUGCCUAACACAUGCAAGUCGAACGGGAGUAGCAAUACUCUAGUGGCGGACGGGUGAGGAAUACGUAGGAAUUUGCCCUUAAGUGGGGGAUAACCCGGGGAAACCCGGAUUAAUACCGCAUGACCUCGAAAGAGCAAAGUGGGGGAUCGCAAGACCUCACGCUUUUGGAGAAGCCUACGUCGGAUUAGCUAGUUGGUGAGGUAAUGGCUCACCAAGGCGACGAUCCGUAACUGGUCUGAGAGGAUGAUCAGUCACACCGGAACUGAGACACGGUCCGGACUCCUACGGGAGGCAGCAGUGGGGAAUAUUGGACAAUGGGCGCAAGCCUGAUCCAGCAAUGCCGCGUGUGUGAAGAAGGCCUUGGUUG
rnacentral:rRNA from 1 species